CAGACGAGAUUUUAUCCCGGCCCACCCCGGUGUUUUCCUCUCGUCAUCGGCCGGGAAAUAUUCAGCUUCUCUGGUGGCGAGGAAAAAAAUCCUCUCGACGCAGCGACGCAACGAGAGGGGGCGCUGCGGCGGGGACGGCUGCACGGCGCGGCGCGACUCCGACGCGACGGCGACGGCACGCUCUCUCCUCCGGCAGUUGACUCCUCCGGUGGUCACCUUCUCCCCUGCUUUGGGAGGAAGUCUGAGAGGAUGGUGGUUCAGAUACAGAGUGAAUGAGCAGACAUGUACAAGAUGAUGGCUUUUGCAGGAGCAACAAAUGUUGAUCUCUGAACCAUUGUAUAUUGCUGAUGUAACCAUUUGGUCUAGGAGUGGGUGUGGCAGCUCACAUUUAUUUUUAUAGCUCAAGUGAAUCAUGACAUAGUUUCAUCUUUUUCUUUUUUUAUUUUCAAAUUUCACUACUAUGACUGUAUUUAGUUGUCUCUGUAUUGUCAAGUGACCUCAAGCUUUGUUGGGUGAUGCCUCCUUGCCUUAAACCGGAUACAGGCCUUGAUGAUACUGCAAUAAUUUUGUUUUAAUGAUUAAUCAAUGUGGUUUUCGCGUAA